AGUGACACUUGUGAAAAAAUACAGGAAUCAUGUGUUACGAUGUUUUUAAUUUGCGAUUUAAAAAUAUUACAAAUUAUUUUUGACAAAAUGAACACCUGAAAAAACAAUACUGUGAUGAACUAAAUACGUGUAUUUCAUGUUGAACAAACUGAACUUAAAAUGCCUUGUA